UGGAGUUGACAGAUCCAACAAUACCAAAGCAGCUUGGGGCUCUGAGUCACCAGGCAGAGGACAGCUGUCCUGGAGAACUGAACAGACCCGCUACAGAGUAAGAGAAUAACAUGUGUUGUCUUAAGCCACUGAAAAAAAUGGGAAUUGUUAUGUCAACAUAAUUUUUUUCUGUUUCAUCUUCUCUCUGGUCCCUUCUUCAGUUAAAUGGAGUACCAGAAUUUGAACUCAAGGCCUGACUCAGCUUACUUGCUUGGCUGGCACUCUGACACCUGAGCCACUGAUUCAGUCUUGUGUCUGACGGUUAUUUUGGAAAUGGAGUUUUGAGGACUUUCCUGCCCAGGCUAUCUUCAAAUGCUAAUCUUCUGGAUCUCAGCCUCCUGAAGGACUAGGAUUACAGUCUUCAGUCACCAGUGCCUGGCUUAAAAAUCCUUCAAUUAUGUAUAGAUCUACUCUAAGUCUUCUUUUGUUAAAUAAAAAAUAAUUGUGUGCUUUGUUUUAAUAAUAA